rnacentral:rRNA from 1 species
UUGGAGAGUUUGAUCCUGGCUCAGAACGAACGCUGGCGGCGUGCCUAACACAUGCAAGUCGAACGCGAAA